UACGUAGGAUGCAAGCGUUGUCCGGAAUUAUUGGGCGUAAAGAGCGCGCAGGCGGUCUAUCAAGUCAGAUGUGAAAUAUCCAGGCUUAACCUGGAGGGGUCAUUUGAAACUGGUAGACUAGAGUACAGCAGAGGAUAGUGGAAUUCCCGGUGUAGUGGUGAAAUGCGUAGAUAUCGGGAGGAACACCGGUGGCGAAGGCGGUUCUCUGGGCCUUACCUGACGCUGAGGAGCGAAAGCGUGGGGAGCGAACAGG
rnacentral:rRNA from 1 species